rnacentral:rRNA from 1 species
CUCAGGGUGCGGGCCCCGGGGGACUCUACGGGAGGCAGCAGUGGGGAAUAUUGCACAAUGGGCGCAAGCCUGAUGCAGCCAUGCCGCGUGUGUGAAUAAGGCUUCGGGUUGUAAAGCACUUUCAGCGAGGAGGAGGGUCCGGUGUUAAUAGCACUGUAAUUGAGUUACUCGAGGCAAGCGACGC